GAGGACCUGGAGGCACCCAGGAAGCGCCAAGCGCUGGGCUGGCCUGCCGGCUCCGGCUCCUUGUCCCCCGGCCACAGGCCUUGUCCCCAUCUGGCCCACACUGUCCACUGGUGCCCCAGGCCCAGCAGGACGCGUCCAGGCCACAGGCCCCCUCCCCACCAGCACUGCCCCUGUAGCCAUCUCUGGGGACCAGGUCUUGGCCCGAGCUGACACACCUUCCUGGCCCCCACCCAGCGCAGAGGAGCAGCCAUCACGACGUAAGGGAACCCCGGAAGGACUCCUCACCAGCACCCCCCUCUGGAGCUGCCUGGCGCUGGCGACAAAGCCCCGGGGAGGCAGGGUGCCAGGACAGCACGCCCAGCGGCUCCCCCAGCCUGCACCAGGGAACUGAGAACCAUCUUCAGUGUUCACGGCAGCCGGGAGGGACACACGGCCCAAGUGUCCAUCCGCGGAGAUUCCCAGCCAGCAGUUGUGCGUCUGCGCUGCAGGCCGCCUGCUGCCCCCCCACGGCCGUGUGGGGACCCUCAGCCUCCUUCCUGACUGGCUGGGGUCGCUGCACACGCUUCAGGUCCCCUGACACUCUGAAAUCUCCUUUUGCUUGUAAAAUUGAGAUGUGGUUUAUGGCGCAUCGACGUUUGCCCUUCCAGACAGUUCAGCGGUUUUUAGUAAAUUCAACAAUCCGUGUAGUCAUCACGACUGGGGAUGUCAGGACACUGUCAUUAUCCGAACAAGAAACCCCAUCCCCGCUGGCUGCACCCGCACCCCCUAACCCUGGCACCCGCGAACCCGAUUUCUGUCCCUGUGGAUUUGCCUCUCGUGACCUUUCACAGAAGUGGAGUCGCACACUCUGGCUUCCCAGGGAAACUGAGGCAGAGGGAUCCAGGGAGAGAUCUCCACAGGGAGCCGAGGGGACUGGACGCCCACGGCCUCCGUCACGAGCUGGGGCCCAGGAGGGCCUGUGUGGGAUCCAGGCCGCGGCCACAGGCCCGGAGGGGCAGGAGCGGACGGUCGGCUGGGUCAGGGGCAGAGAAGCUCGUUCGGCCCCAGCUGGGUGGACUGAGGCCCGGUCGACGGGACGUGUCUUCGCUGCAUCUGCCGGAUAAAUGCUCACCUCUCCCGACACCGCCUCGGGCACACCCGGAACUCAUGCUUACCAGCUGGGGGGGUGGGGGGGGCAGCCU